GACAAUGAGAGAGCAUAUCUCCUCUCUCUCAUGUUCGAUAUGUCGCUGGAUCUUAUUAGUGACUUUCUUAAUAAUAACGAUCCAUUGGUGUUCCACCGUUGGUUAAAUUUGUUUUGAUCGAGCGGUGCGCAUGCGUGUUGAGUGGUGCCAGUGACCAGACAAUGAGUGAAUUCAUCCCCUCUCUCUCAUGUUCGAUAUGUCGCUGGAUCUCAUUAGUGAUUUUCUUAACGAUCCAGAUUUCAACGACAAUCCAAUUGAGUUGGAUCAACGCUCAGCCCCGCCUCUACCUGCAUCACCACCACCACCACCACCACCACCACCACCACCACCACCACCACCAAUAAUGGCUGACGACCAGCAACCACCCAAUAUCCAGCAGCCUCAGCAGCCCCAACACCUCCAACAAUAUGACCAACAGCUGCAGCAUCCUCACCAGCCCCAACAGCUUCAGCAACAAUCCUCACAGCUAGAGCAACAACCACCCGAUAUACAACAAGAUCAACAUUCACCCGCACAGUCCCACCAGUAUCACCUACAACCCCAACAACCUCAGAAUCCUCAGCAGCCCCAAGAGCCUCAACACCAACCUCAACAGCCUCAGCAGCCAUCCCAGUACGAUAUCCAUGAUCUCUUUGGAAAUAUUAAUGAACGCAUGGAUGUCUUGGAACAAUUGUUUGUUGGCAAUUACAAUCGUGUGAAUGAGCAACGUAGAGGAGGUAGUCGAGGUAACAGAGGGGGUAAUCGAGGUAAUAGAGGCGGUAAUGCAAGUAACAGAGGAGGCACAGGUGGCUAUGGAGCAGGUGGAAGGAGUCAACGGGGGCGACUAGAUGGAUGGAACGUGGGAAAUGGACAGGCGAAAGAGAAUGGUAGGAGACGAAGAGCUGGGCAAAACCUUGAUCAUCGUAACGCGAUAUAUUGGAAGAGUCAAUUCUUCCAAUUGAAAAAUCGUCGAUCUCAGAGGGGCAAGGGUGGUCCUCCAGUGAUCAAUCACUACUAUGCCUCUCAAUAAUAUUUUCCUAUAAGGACUUGAGAGUAGUCCCUCGUCGAAACUGUUUUUUCGACGGUUCACAAAGAUUCAUCCAUGGAUUCAUUCUGAAUUCUUCAUUCAGGAUUCUGUGAUAAUAAACAGAGGAGAAGCAUUCCAUCUCGAAAAAUAUAUAUAUUCAAAAACGUUUUCUAGUGAGUAUUGUGUUGUGUUUUCUUUUUAUAGGGAAACAAAUUUCUCUUAUAUUAACAAAAAAGUGAGCAUAGUAUUAUGUUAACUGUAAGAGCUAAUUAUGCAGUUUAGUGAUUGUGUUCAUGAUAAAGAGUUUUGAAGGUAUUAUAACAUAAGCAGAGGAAAACUAUUCCAUCUGGAAAAAUAUGCAUUUAAAAACUAUUGGUAUUGAGUAUUUAGUUCUGUUUUAUUUUUAUAGGGAAAAAAAAAUCUCUUAUAACAACAAAAAUGUGAGCAUAGUAUUAUGUUAACUGUAAGAGCUAAUUCUGCAGUUUAGUGAUUGUGUUCAUGAUAAAAAGUUCUCAAAGUAUUAUAAAAUAAACAGAGGAAAACCAGUCCACCUCGAUAAAUAUGCAUUUAAAAAGGAUUUGUAUUGAGUAUUUAGUUCUGUUUUCUUUUUAUAGGGAAAAAAAAUUCUCUUAUAUUAACAAAAAUGUGAGCAUAGUAUUAUGUUAACUGUAAGAGCUAAUUCUGCAGUUUAGUGAUUGUGUUUAUGAUAAAAAGUUUUCAAAGUAUUAUAAAAUAAGCAGAGGAAAACCAGUCCACCUCGAAAAAUAUGCAUUUAAAAACGAUUUGUAUUGAGUAUUUAGUUCUGUUUUUUUUUUAUAGGGAAGAAAAUUUCUCUUAUAUUAACAAAAAUGUGAGCAUAGUAUUAUGUUAACUGUAAGAGCUAAUUCUGCAGUUUAGUGAUUGUGUUUAUGAUAAAAAGUUUUCAAAGUAUUAUAAAAUAAGCAGAGGAAAACCAGUCCACCUCGAAAAAUAUGCAUUUAAAAACGAUUUGUAUUGAGUAUUUAGUUCUGUUUUCUUUUUAUAGGGAAAAGAAAUUCUCUUACAUCAACAAAAAUGUGAGCAUAGUAUUAUGUUAACUGUAAGAGCUAAUUCUCCAGUUUAUUGAUUGUGCUCAUGCUAAAAACUUGUAAAAGUAUUGUAAAAUCUUUUUUUCAUGAAGUUUUCCGUUUUGUUUCAUGCACAAAAUUUCAUUAAACCCCUUAA